UCGACUACUGUUCUCUCUUCAACUGACUCUGCUAAGAAUUGUGCCAUCUAUCUAUUAUUAACAUUCUAUGGAUCAACAAGUGGAGGAGGAGGUAUAUUCUGAGGAUCUCAACCCCCAAAAGGAACACCAUUACAAAUUUGCUAUUACAUCCUUUGUAGUGUUAGUAAAAUUCUCUCUAGUUCGGGAUCAAUAGGGAGUGAGGGAUUAUCUUGACUCCUACUGGGAGGCACACAUCGG
rnacentral:lncRNA from 1 species